AAAUUGAAGAGUUUGAUCAUGGCUCAGAUUGAACGCUGGCGGCAGGCCUAACACAUGCAAGUCGAGCGGUAGCACAGAGAGCUUGCUCUCGGGUGACGAGCGGCGGACGGGUGAGUAAUGUCUGGGAAACUGCCUGAUGGAGGGGGAUAACUACUGGAAACGGUAGCUAAUACCGCAUAACGUCGCAAGACCAAAGUGGGGGACCUUCGGGCCUCAUGCCAUCAGAUGUGCCCAGAUGGGAUUAGCUAGUAGGUGGGGUAACGGCUCACCUAGGCGACGAUCCCUAGCU
rnacentral:rRNA from 1 species